rnacentral:rRNA from 1 species
UACGAAGGGGGCUAGCGUUGUUCGGAAUUACUGGGCGUAAAGCGCACGUAGGCGGAUAUUUAAGUCAGGGGUGAAAUCCCAGAGCUCAACUCUGGAACUGCCUUUGGUACUGGGUAUCUCGAGUAUGGAAGAGGUGAGUGGAAUUCCGAGUGUAGAGGUGAAAUUCGUAGAUAUUCGGAGGAACACCAGUGGCGAAGGCGGCUCACUGGUCCAUUACUGACGCUGAGGUGCGAAAGCGUGGGGAGCAAACAGG